rnacentral:rRNA from 1 species
AUUGAACGCUGGCGGCAGGCCUAACACAUGCAAGUCGAGCGAGCGGCGGACGGGUGAGUAAUGUCUGGGAAACUGCCUGAUGGAGGGGGAUAACUACUGGAAACGGUAGCUAAUACCGCAUACCAUCAGAUGUGCACAGAUGGGGUUAGCUAGGAGGUGGGGUAACGGCUAAACUAGGCGACGAUCCCUAGCUGGCCUGAGAGGAUGAGCAGCCCCACGGGAACUGGGAAACGGUCCAGAAUCCUACGGGGGGCAGCAGUGGGGAGUAUUGCACAAUGUGCGCAGGCCUGAUGCAGCCAUGCCGCGGGUGUGAAGAAGGCCUUCGGGUUGUAAAGCACUUUCAGCGGGGAGGCGUUACCCGCAGAGGAAGCACCGGCUAACUCCGUGCCAGCAGCCGCGGUAAUAC